rnacentral:rRNA from 1 species
UACGUAGGCAGCGAGCGUUGUUCGGAAUUACUGGGCGUAAAGAGUGUGUAGGCGGUGUUCCCAGUCUGUUGUGAAAUCUCCCGGCUUAACUGGGAGGGUGCAGCGGAAACUAGAAUGCUAGAGGGUGGGAGAGGUAAGCGGAAUUCCUGGUGUAGCGGUGAAAUGCGUAGAUAUCAGGAGGAACACCUGUGGUGUAGACAGCUUACUGGACCACUUCUGACGCUGAGGAGCGAAAGCGUGGGGAGCGAACAGG